UUUUUAUGUAUCUGUAAAAACACCAGAGCAAGCUGCAGAUGUUUUAUCUGCAUGUAUGGCUGAAGUUAGUCAGUGGCUCUUCAAAAAUCAAUUAGUCCCUAAUCUCACUAAAACAGUGUCUAUGUGCUUUUCAAUCAAAAAA